rnacentral:rRNA from 1 species
UCAAUUUGAAGGUUGUGGCCUUGAGCUGUGGCUUUCGGAGCUAACGCGUUAAAUAGACCGCCUGGGGAGUACGGCCGCAAGGUUAAAACUCAAAUGAAUUGACGGGGGCCCGCACAAGCGGUGGAGCAUGUGGUUUAAUUCGAUGCAACGCGAAGAACCUUACCUACUCUUGACAUCCAGAGAACUUGGCGAGAUGCCUUGGUGCCUUCGGGAGCUCUGAGACAGGUGCUGCAUGGCUGUCGUCAGCUCGUGUUGUGAAAUGUUGGGUUAAGUCCCGCAACGAGCGCAACCCUUGUCCUUUGUUGCCAGCGAUUCGGUCGGGAACUCAAAGGAGACUGCCGGUGAUAAACCGGAGGAAGGUGGGGAUGACGUCAAGUCAUCAUGGCCCUUACGAGUAGGGCUACACACGUGCUACAAUGGCGCAUACAAAGAGAAGCGAUCUCGCGAGAGUCAGCGAACCUCAUAAAGUGUGUCGUAGUUCGGAUUGGAGUCUGCAACUCGACUCCAUGAAGUCGGAAUCGCUAGUAAUCGUGGAUCAGAAUGCCACGGUGAAUACGUUCCCGGGCC